rnacentral:rRNA from 1 species
GUGGGGAAUUUUGGACAAUGGGCGAAAGCCUGAUCCAGCCAUGCCGCGUGAGUGAAGAAGGCCUUCGGGUUGUAAAGCUCUUUUAGUCGGAAAGAAAGAGUUGCAAUGAAUAAUUGUGAUUUAUGACGGUACCGACAGAAAAAGCACCGGCUAACUACGUGCCAGCAGCCGCGGUAAUACGUAGGGUGCGAGCGUUAAUCGGAAUUACUGGGCGUAAAGGGUGCGCAGGCGGUCUUGCAAGUCAGAUGUGAAAGCCCCGGGCUUAACCUGGGAAUUGCAUUUGAAACUACAAGGCUAGAGUGCAGCAGAGGGGAGUGGAAUUCCAUGUGUAGCAGUGAAAUGCGUAGAGAUGUGGAAGAACACCGAUGGCGAAGGCAGCUCCCUGGGUUGACACUGACGCUCAUGCACGAAAGCGUGGGGAGCAAACAGGAUUAGAUACCCUGGUAGUCCACGCCCUAACGAUGUCAACUAGUUGUCGGAUCUAAUUAAGGAUUUGGUAACGGAGCUAACGCGUGAAGUUGACCGCCUGGGGAGUACGGUCGCAAGAUUAAAACUCAACGGAAUUGACGG